rnacentral:rRNA from 1 species
UACGUAGGGACCGAGCGUUGUCCGGAUUCAUUGGGCGUAAAGAGCUCGUAGGCGGCCACUCAAGUCGAAUGUGAAACCUCGAGGCUUAACCUCGAGCCUGCAUUCGAUACUGGGCGGCUAGAGUCUGGUAGGGGGAUCUGGAAUUCCUGGUGUAGCGGUGGAAUGCGCAGAUAUCAGGAGGAACACCGGCGGCGAAGGCGCUGCUCUGGGCCGGUACUGACGCUGAGGAGCGAAAGCGUGGGGAGCGAACAGG